CCUACGGGUGGCAGCAGUGAGGAAUAUUGGUCAAUGGGCGAGAGCCUGAACCAGCCAAGUCGCGUGAGGGAGUACUGCCCUAUGGGUUGUAAACCUCUUUUGUCGGGGAGCAAAAGCCGGACGUGUCCGGCUGUGAGAGUACCCGAAGAAAAAGCAUCGGCUAACUCCGUGCCAGCAGCCGCGGUAAUACGGAGGAUGCGAGCGUUAUCCGGUUUUAUUGGGUUUAAAGGGUGCGCAGGCGGAUUUUUAAGUCAGUGGUAAAAUCGUGGGGCUCAACCCCAUCCAGCCGUUGAAACUGGGGAUCUAGAGAGUGCGAGAGGUAUGCGGAAUGCGUGGUGUAGCGGUGAAAUGCAUAGAUAUCACGCAGAACCCCGAUUGCGAAGGCAGCAUACCGGUGCACAACUGACGCUCAGGCACGAAAGCGUGGGUAUCGAACAGGAUUAGAUACCCCUGUAGUC
rnacentral:rRNA from 1 species